rnacentral:rRNA from 1 species
AUACGGAGGGUGCAAGCGUUAAUCGGAAUUACUGGGCGUAAAGCGUACGUAGGCGGUGAGUUAAGUUAGAUGUGAAAGCCCCGGGCUUAACCUGGGAACUGCAUUUAAAACUGGCUGACUAGAGUUGAGUAGAGGGGAGUGGAAUUUCAGGUGUAGCGGUGAAAUGCGUAGAGAUCUGAAGGAACACCAGUGGCGAAGGCGACUCCCUGGACUCAAACUGACGCUGAGGUACGAAAGCGUGGGUAGCAAACGGGAUUAGAAACCCUAGUAGUCC